AUGUUUUUGUUGAAAUUUUAUGAUGCAACUAUUUAUUUGUCUUGGGUUUAUUAUCUCACGUCUCCUUUAAUGGUGCAUAGUAUUGUAGACAUUCAUACUCAUCUGAACGCAUACGAAAGCGAUGAGUUAUUGCUUGAAGUUGUUGCUCGGAUGAAACUUAAUUAUUUGAAACAUUGGAAAGAAAUUCAUAUGUUGUAUGCAUUUGCAUUAAUCCUGGACCCUAGGGCUAAACUUGUUAUGUUUGCUAAUGCACUCGAUGUACUAGUUGGGUCCCUGCAUUUAGAUUAUUCUGCUUAUUUCAUGGAUGUUCGUGAUAAACUUUUUGAAGUUACUUAA
rnacentral:rRNA from 1 species